rnacentral:tRNA from 3 species
GGAGAGGUAGCUCAGGUGGUAGAGCAACGUAAGUAGUCUUGAUAAAGGCUCAAACAGCAAUAAUCUAUUGAUUGGUAAUCCGUUUGUCGUGGGUUCGAUUCCCAUCCUCUCCA